GGGAAAGCCCCUUGCAGGCCAGAGGGUCAUAAAACCGGCCGGGCGAGAGGGGGCGAGCCUCGUGGGCUUCCGCGGGCCGCAGGCUGCAGGGGACAAGUCGCAGGUCCCCUCCCCCGGGAAAAACGCGUCUCAGGGCUUUGGCGCUGGGGCCGAACAAUGGAAACACCCUGGAGCCCGGCGGCUCCGGCUUCCUUCGACUCAGUCCCCGGGUUUUCCGGCUCUGGCCUCCCGACCCCGGCCACCUCCCUAUGCCGGCCCUUCCCCCAUGCCACAUGAGAGUGCCCUCCAAGUCUCAUUGCCAGUGAAAUGCUGAGUUGCUGUUUCCUUCCGGAAAAAAAGAUUUCCUCCGGAAAAAGAUUCCCUCCUCCAGAAAUCCAAAUCUAGAAGGAAAUACAACCAAUCCGACAUAACCUUUAUUAACCUUGUCUUAAACUCUCCAGCGAAUGCCUUCUGAAGAGAGGAUGUGCCCAGCAGCACGCAGCGAAUCAAAGAACAGUACCUACUACAACCUGCGCAGAGAUUUCAUCAAACAAGAAAGGCUGUUAAAAAAAACUUGAGUUCGAGACCUAGGAUGCAAAGGUUAUUUCCUGGACUGUGCCUUCAUGCGUUUUCAAACUUCUUAGCUGCAAGUGGAAGACAGUGAUUGGCUCCAGUGCUUACGAAGGAUUUGGGCUAAAGCCAGGGGAACAGAACCAGAGGAUUCCCUUCCAGACCAUCACACUGCUUCUGCCUUAUCUUUCCUUUCUCUCCUGGGUGCUGAAGAUUUUAGUGUAGCUUCAGCAGCCCUUAGGUAGGCCUCAACACUUAAUGUCAUCACUCCAGUUUCUUCACAUUUGGCCUUCGUGUAAAAUAAACAAAAACUUGGGUAACCCCAAUAAAUGUUCCUUCUUGAGAUUUGUGUAUUAUUUAAUAGAAGAUUGAACUUUACUUUCUGUGAGUUUGUCCUCUAUGUUCAGGAUCAA
rnacentral:lncRNA from 1 species